UACGUAGGGACCAAGCGUUGUUCGGAUUUACUGGGCGUAAAGGGCGCGUAGGCGGCGUGGUAAGUCACUUGUGAAAUCUCUGAGCUUAACUCAGAACGGCCAAGUGAUACUGCUGUGCUAGAGUGCAGAAGGGGCAAUCGGAAUUCUUGGUGUAGCGGUGAAAUGCGUAGAUAUCAAGAGGAACACCUGAGGUGAAGACGGGUUGCUGGGCUGACACUGACGCUGAGGCGCGAAAGCCAGGGGAGCGAACGGG
rnacentral:rRNA from 1 species